CAGUCGCCGCGGUAAUACGGAGGGGGCUAGCGUUGUUCGGAAUUACUGGGCGUAAAGCGCACGUAGGCGGCUUGGUAAGUUAGAGGUGAAAGCCCAGGGCUCAACCCUGGAAUUGCCUUUAAGACUGCCGAGCUAGUAGGUGAGAGAGGUAAGUGGAAUUCCGAGUGUAGAGGUGAAAUUCGUAGAUAUUCGGAAGAACACCAGUGGCGAAGGCGGCUUACUGGCUCAUUCUAGACGCUGAGGUGCGAAAGCGUGGGGAGCAAACAGGAUUAGAUACCCGAGUAGUCCCUGUCUCUUAUAC
rnacentral:rRNA from 1 species